AGUGAACGCUGGCGGUAGGCCUAAUACAUGCAAGUCGAACGGCCGCACCGUAAGCGCUCGCUCUUAUGGGUGGCGAGUGGCGGGUGGGUGAGGCAUACAUCGGAAUCUACUUUUUCGUGGGGGAUAACGUAGGGAAACUUAUGCUAAUACCGCAUACGACCUAUGGCAGAAAGCAGGGUUUCUUCGGACCUUGCGCGAUCGCAUGAGCCGAUGCCGGAUUAGCUAGUUGGCGGGGUAAAGGCCCACCAAGGCGACGAUCCGUAGCUGACCUGAGAGGAUGAUCGGCCACACUGGAACUGAGACACGGUCCAGACUCCUACGGGAGGCAGCAGUGAGGAAUACUGCGCAAUGGGCGAAAGCCUGAUCCAGCCACGCCGCGUGAGUGAAGAAGGCCUUCGGGUUGUAAAGCCCUUUUGUUAGGGAAGAAAAACUGCAGGUUAAAACCGCGCUGUUCUGACGGUACCCAAAGAGAAAGCACCGGCUAACUUCGUG
rnacentral:rRNA from 1 species